rnacentral:siRNA from 1 species
CAACUUUCUCCAUAUGGGUGACA